rnacentral:RNase_P_RNA from 1 species
AAAGGAAGAAAGGUAUAUGCGUAUUUCUUUGGAAAUAUGAGGAAAGUCUGGACAUCAUCCGAAAGGAGAAAAGCUAACGGCUUUGGUCCGAAAAAAUAUCAAAAAUUUCGGAUACGGAAAGUGCCACAGAGACAAUACUAGUCGCAAGACGAAAGGUGAAAAGUCAUUUUGUGUACUGAGGUUAACUCUCAAAAAAAAUUGAAAAGAGCCAAAAGUGCGAUAAAUGAGCCAUUGGCGGGUAAACCCUCUCUGAUGCAAGAGGAAUGGUAUUUUUGUACAUAAUAUUUUCGGAGUAGUGAACAAAAAUAUACCUCGCUUGAGGUUUUGGGUGACCAAAAUCCUAGAUAGAUAUAUACCGAAAUACAGAAUCCGGCUUAUUAUCAACUUUUUGAA